rnacentral:lncRNA from 1 species
CUGAAACCCUCAAUCCAGAGAAGAGUGGACUCCUACUGCUGCCCCACACUGUAAUGUCUUCAUUCUGCUAUCAAACAUCAUUAAGGGCAAUGGUAACAUCAUCGGUCUCAGCAGCAGCAUUAGAUUAACACAGUGAUUGGCAACCUACAAAUGCCAGGCACUUGGAAGCAGCAUACCACAUCUUCAGUUUACAUCUUUUCCAUACUCUGCUCUUUGUAGGAUCUUGCAGAAGUCAGGACGGACCCACCAAAAAUCCAGACAGGGUGGCAGACAAAGCUACAAUGGAUUUCUGCUUAUUGCUCUGUUCAGUAUAUCAGUAUCAAUAGAUAUUGGAUUAACGAGGAGGAGCUGAAUAAAUGGAAACAUGCAAGCAAUCUUUAUAUGUAUUGGUUUCGAGCAGCUGCAUCUUGUGAAGACAAGGUAUUUCACCAGAAAUUAAGGGUAAUGAUUUUCCAGUAACACCUGACAUAAACGCUAGCUUACUUUGCUAAUAAUUUUUUUACUGUUUCUUUUUGAAGUUUUGUCAUGCUUUGCAAACAAGACAUAACAACUAAGGUCAUUGUUAUAUCAUCUGAAGAUUAGUACAUUUUACACCUAACUGAAGUUAGGUGUAACUUCAACGUGAAAACAUGAAUGGGAAGAGUUACAGUUACAUUUGUUAAGUUAACAACUGCAUUUAUAAUAACCAGAAAUGAACUUGACUCAUCAGCCUUGCCAAGUAUUUAUUAGCAGCCCCUAAUCAUCAAGUGAAAGUUUAAUAAUCCAGCUUCUGCAGGGUAGAUUAAUAUGGUAGAUUCUACACAACAAAAUGUUUGAUCGGGUCAAGAUAUACAGAAAAGGGUUUGGAAUCCAAACUGUUUGGUGCCCAACUGGAGACGAUUGCUUUACUUACAAAAGUGCUGAAUUAUAAUACUCAGUUCUCAUAUGGCACUUUUCGUUUGUGGCCCUCAAAGUAGUUUAUACAAAACUAGCAUCAUCACUUUGCAGCUGGGAAAAUGAAACUGAACAAGUUGCCCAAAGACCCACAAUAUUUCAUUGGCAAAGCUAAAAACAGAGCCCAGGGCUUUUGACUCCAAGUGCAGUGUUGCAGUCAAUGGGUUAUAGCAAAAAUAUUUACAAAAA